AAGUAUUUGAAAACUAAAUUUCAUAAUUUUUCGGUAUUAUUUACCUAUCAAACGAGUAGUUUGAAAAUAAAAAUCUCAUAAAAAAUAAUGAUAGAAGACUUGAAUUUAAGAUUAGAGGUACUGAUCUUACUUUAAAUAGUAAAAAGAAUUUUCUAUAAAAAUUUCAUCUGAUUUGAAUUGUUUUACACUAUUAAAUUUACAAAUGCAUCACAUCUAUCAUUAAAAUUAUCAAUUUUGAGACAUUUUGAUCACUAGCCAAAUGAUGUUGAAAAAUUCUGAAAUUUAGUUUCUAAAUACUUUCAAUAGUGUAGAUCAAGUCUAAUGGACCAGAUCGUCGAUUUGAAAACCGUAUCAUCGAAAAUAACUUGAUAAUACGGAAGCCUCCGUACUACCGAUAGUAUAGCAGCCCAACUCCAAUGAGAAAUGCCACCAACCAGCAAAUCGCAGGAAUAUUCACCACUGCUCUUUGUCUUGGUCGGUCCAGUCCUUUUGAUCAAUCAUUAUCUAUCCACUGCAGAAGGGAGCGCUUGGCUCGAGGCAGAAUCAUGCUUCACCAGCUUCAUGCAAUUGAUCAGAUUAAUUUAUUAAAUCUAAUCAAAUCGAGUCAAUAUAUAGUGUCUCUCUUAAUUACUAAUAGAAACAGUUUUAUCAAAGACUGUAACCAACAAGAUCGAUACGAUAAAAAAUAGUUUAAAAANUAUAUAUAUAUAUAUAUAUAUAUAUAUAUAUAAAAUGAGAAGAGCUAGGCUGCUAUACUAUCGGUAGCACGGACGCCUUCGUGCUACCAAGUUAUUUUCAAUUAUACCGCUUCCAAAUCGACGAUCGGCUCCGUUAAACUUGAUCUACACUAUUGAAAGUAUUUGAAAACUAAAUUUCAUAAUUUUUCGGUAUCAUUUACCUAUCAAACGAGUAAUCUGAAAAUAAAAAUUUCAUAAAAAAUAAUGAUAGAAGACUUGAAUUUAAGAUUAGAGAUACUGAUCCUACUCUAAAUAGUAAAAAGAAUUUUCUAUAAAAAUUUCAUCUGAUUUGAAUUGUUUUACACCAUUAAAUUUACAAAUGCAUCACAUCUAUCAUUAAAAUUGUCAAUUUUGAGACAUUUUGAUCACUAGCCAAAUGAUGUCGAAAAAUUCUGAAAUUUAGUUUCUAAAUACUUUCAAUAGUGUAGAUCAAGUCUAAUGGAGCCGAUUGUCGAUUUGAAAACUGCUUCAUCGAAAAUAACUUGAUAACAUGGAAGUCUCCGUACUACCGAUAGUAUAGC
rnacentral:lncRNA from 1 species